GGAUAUCAUAAUGUACUGUAACUUGAUUGGAGCCGUUACAGUAUAUAUGAUGUGCUG
rnacentral:pre_miRNA from 1 species